rnacentral:rRNA from 1 species
AUACGGAGGGUGCAAGCGUUACUCGGAAUCACUGGGCGUAAAGCGCGCGCAGGCGGUCUUUUAAGUUGGAUGUGAAAGCCUACGGCUCAACCGUAGAACUGCAUCCAAAACUAUUAGACUAGAGUGUGGGAGAGGAAGAUGGAAUUAGUUGUGUAGGGGUAAAAUCCGUAGAGAUAACUAGGAAUACCAAAAGCGAAGGCAAUCUUCUGGAACACUACUGAUGCUGAGGCGCGAAAGCGUGGGGAGCAAACAGGAUUAGAAACCCUAGUAGUCC